GUGAUUGGAGAAGGGGGAGGAAGAGAAAUGUGGAAGAGGACAGGGAGAGAGAGCACAGACAGGAAAACUGCAGAAAGCCACAGGGAAAAAGAACUCCAAGAUUACAAAUACCCACUUCAUUUGAUGCUGAGUUACUCGUCGACACAUAAGAAAAGUGCUCUUGCACUCCCUCUGCUGGUCUUGCUAAUUAACAGUAUCAGCCUCAAGAAGUCUAGUAAAAGAGUGGUGCUGAGGACUACUGAGGACUAUUGAGGAGGACAACUGAAGAAAACUCUAAGGAGGACUACUGAGUAGGAUUCGUGAAGGAUGGCCAGCUCUUUGUCAGAAAUUCAUGUUGCUUGGCCUCCAGAUGAAGCAAAGACGAACAAAGAAAAUUUGCUUAUAGGUGGCAAAAACAAAUAAUACCGUGAUUGUUUUUAUCUCUUGAAGAAAGAAUGCCACAAAAUGGACAUUUUCACACUUACCAAAAAAGUUGUUCUCUCCCCCCUCAAACAGUAGAGCUGGUUACUCAUGUUCUGUUCAAUUGUAUGUAUAAUUAAUAAGAUGUAUAAAGAUAUGGUGCACCAAUUUUGUAUCUGGAUAUUUACACCCUGGGAGGUUAAAUGGAAAGUUGUUUGUCUUUGAUGGAGGAAUUCCCGGGUGUGAGACACAGCUGCCCAGUGGCUCCACUCCCACGACUUAGACUUCCCAUAUAGGGUUGCAAAGAG
rnacentral:lncRNA from 1 species